GAUGAACGCUGGCGGCGUGCUUAACACAUGCAAGUCGAACGGAAAGGCCCAAGCUUGCUUGGGUGCUCGAGUGGCGAACGGGUGAGUAACACGUGGGUGAUCUGCCCUGCACUUUGGGAUAAGCCUGGGAAACUGGGUCUAAUACCGGAUAGGACCAUCGUUUAGUGUCGGUGGUGGAAAGUUUUUCGGUGUGGGGUGAGCUCGCGGCCUAUCAGCUUGUUGGUGGGGUAAUGGCCUACCAAGGCGUCGACGGGUAGCCGGCCUGAGGGGGUGUACGGCCACAUUGGGACUGCGAUACGGCCCAGGCUCCUACGGGAGGCAGCAGUGGGGAAUCUUGCACAAUGGGCGCGAGCCUGAUGCAGCGACGCCGCGUGGGGGAUGACGGCCUUCGGGUUGUAAACUCCUUUCGCCAAGGACGAAGCGUUUUGUGACGGUACUUGGAGAAGAAGCACCGGCUAACUACGUG
rnacentral:rRNA from 1 species